rnacentral:lncRNA from 1 species
UUAAAAUGAAUUAAAAAUAACCAGAAAAGAGAAAAUUCACAAAAAAUAUCAAAUGACAAAAUAAAAAAUAUUAAAAAUCAUUUUUAGAAACUAGAAUUUAAAUGGAGAAGAAUGCAAUUGGUCCCAUAUUUUUUGGAUUAAAAAUGAUAGAGUUAUGAAUUUUUAAAAAUGAGAUGGAAUUAAAAAAUGAAAUGGAAAAAUAAAAUCAG